rnacentral:rRNA from 1 species
CCUACGGGAGGCAGCAGUGGGGAAUAUUGCUCAAUGGGCGGAACCCUGAUGCAGCAAUGCCGCGUGAAGGAUGAAGGUUUUCGGAUUGUUAACUUCUUUUGUACGGGACGAAGAAAGUGACGGUACCGUACGAAUAAGCCACGGCUAACUACGUGCCAGCAGGCGCGGCAAUACGUAGGUGGCAAGCGUUAUCCGGAUUUACUGGGUGUAAAGGGCGAGUAGGCGGGAGUGUAAGUCAGAUGGGAAAACUAUGGGGUCAACCGAUAGAGUGGAGUUGAAACUGCAGGUCUGGAGUGAGGGAGAGGUAGGCGGAAUGCGCGGUGUAGCGGUGGAAUGCGUAGAUAUCGGGCGGAACACCAGUGGCGAAGGCAGCCUGCUGGACAUAAACUGACGCUGAGGCGCGAAAGCGUGGGGAGCAAACAGGAUUAGAUACCCGGGUAGUC